AGACACAUAUAGUAUAUAAUAUUAUAGUAUAAUAUAGAGUAACAUUAGAGUGCUGAAUGAUAUUAUUAUUGGCCACUCACUAUAAUAAGCUACAUUAUGCCUAAUAACAAUAAUAUUCCAUAUAAUAUUAUGCCUAACCUUCUGAAGUAGUCACAUUCGAAAACAGACGGACCGCCAGACGAAUAUUAUUAACGAACACGACACAGCAGGAUGUUGAUGUACAGCUAAUAAUAGUUUCUCUGCAGACAAAAUCAAAUCAAAGUAUUAUGGUUUUGCAUUAAGCCGAGCAUAAUAUUGCAUUUAAUUUUUGACUUUCGAGACUAUGCGGAGAUAUCAACGCCAUUUACAAAACAAGAUGAUAUUAAUAAUUAACUCUAAUACAUUUGUCUCGGUCAAUUAUUUCUAGAGUGGCUCAUACAAAAUUACGAUUAUUUGACGUCAAAAUACUUCUACCCACCGUAACAACUUAUUCCACGGUUAG